GACGAACGCUGGCGGCGUGCUUAACACAUGCAAGUCGAACGGAAAGGCCCUGCUUUUGUGGGGUGCUCGAGUGGCGAACGGGUGAGUAACACGUGAGUAACCUGCCCUUGACUUUGGUAUAACUUCAGGAAACUGGGGCUAAUACCGGAUAGGAGCUCCUGCUGCAUGGUGGGGGUUGGAAAGUUUCGGCGGUUGGGGAUGGACUCGCGGCUUAUCAGCUUGUUGGUGGGGUAGUGGCUUACCAAGGCUUUGACGGGUAGCCGGCCUGAGAGGGUGACCGGCCACAUUGGGACUGAGAUACGGCCCAGACUCCUACGGGAGGCAGCAGUGGGGAAUAUUGCACAAUGGGCGGAAGCCUGAUGCAGCAACGCCGCGUGCGGGAUGACGGCCUUCGGGCUGUAAACCGCUUUCGCCUGUGACGAAGCGUGAGUGACGGUAAUGGGUAAAGAAGCACCGGCUAACUACGUG
rnacentral:rRNA from 1 species